rnacentral:pre_miRNA from 14 species
CCCCCCCUGAAUGUAUGACUCUUCAACCUCAGGAUUCGCAGAGUAAAUAGAAUGCAGUCCUGAGGUUGUUGAGUUGUGCAUUUCUGGGC